UUCUUGAUGAAACUUUCUGCAUGACUUUGUAGAUCAGCACAUUUUUAAAGCAUUGACUGGAAUUCAGGGAAAAUUAAAAUCAUCGUUUGGAAUAUUCCAAAGCACUACACUACAAGUCAUGCAGAGCCCAUCAAGAAUUCGUUUGUUUGCGAAAUGUGUAUCCUUUUUCUUUAUUAUUUUUAUAUAAAACUUUUUGAGGGAAACUCAUAUUCUCUAGCUUUAAGGCGUCAUCCCUUCAAAAAGUGCCGUACCCAUUUGCACCAAGAAAUACUAUCAAAUCCAGAAAACCGAAUAAGUAAGGGACCUAUUCCGGAAGUCGCUCGGAUCUUAUUGACUGUGGCCAUGGAAGCCUCCGCUGUGACAUUAAUCAUUUAGCUUAAUACCAGAGGAUUCCAAUUCUGCAAAACAGACGAGAACAAUCCAGAUUUUUUUAAUUUUGAGCGUGUUACGGUCACACUCCAUUAGGAUGUAGCGCCAAUGCACUCGUACUACGUUUACCUAUAGUUGCACGCGCACCUGUAUCGCCCUUAACAACUGACCCCCCGCGCGCUACCAGAAGCGACUGGCAGAGGCCGCAAGGAGAUCCUUUCUCGAAAAAAAAAUGCAUUAGCUCUGUUUGCCUAGGGCACACGGUAUAUAUGUAUAGUUGUGUGGGUAAAUAAAACAAUUCUUUGUUAGUGCAGUGAAACUCUUCUCGCUUGAGUACCACCAUCAAAACAGCCUCCCCUCUCCAACAACUGGCGCCCAACUAGUAAGACAGACAUCACGACUCCACCAUGCAGCGGAUCCUUUGCGAACUGCACCGCCAGGUUUGACGCGGAAAGCGACGUGCAAGCUUUUAUGGACAACAUCACGACGUACAAAGACUGCACGGCGGUUUCCGAAGAGAACGUCCUAAGAGGUAUGUCGAUGCUAUUAGAAAGAGACGCCGCCGCAGAAACAACUCCACCAGUUACUUCGCUAGCUAUUUGAGACGGAAUAGGGCCCCAGUGACCCGGCCGAACUGUUCAUUUCGAGAAACUGGCCCUCAACUUGUGAUAAUCCACACUUAUAGUUAGGCAACACACCUUUACAUCUGAAACAAAAAUAUGAUAUGCUCUGUAUAUAACCAAUCGACCGUUUUGCGCACAUGCCGAAUACUAGGGGAUUUUCGUAACGAAGCUCAGGGGAAAAAAGAAUGUGGCAGAAGAAAGAAAAUGGAGACGUGGUUGAUGGAGGGCAUCGCGCUUUCCUGGGUUUUUAUUCUUGAUUAUUUAUUUUGUU